rnacentral:rRNA from 1 species
UACGUAGGGUGCGAGCGUUAAUCGGAAUUACUGGGCGUAAAGCGUGCGCAGGCGGUUCGUUGUGUCGGCGGUGAAAGCCCCGGGCUUAACCUGGGAAUGGCCGUCGAAACUGGCGAACUGGAGUGUGGCAGAGGGGGAUGGAAUUCCGCGUGUAGCAGUGAAAUGCGUAGAUAUGCGGAGGAACACCGAUGGCGAAGGCAAUCCCCUGGGCCUGCACUGACGCUCAUGCACGAAAGCGUGGGGAGCAAACAGG